rnacentral:rRNA from 1 species
UACGAAGGGGGCGAGCGUUGUUCGGAUUUACUGGGCGUAAAGGGCGCGCAGGCGGUCUUGAAAGUCAGGCGUGAAAGCUCCGGGCUUAACCUGGGAAUUGCGAUUGAUACUCUGAGACUGGAGUACGGGAGAGGAGAGUGGAAUUCCCAGUGUAGAGGUGAAAUUCGUAGAUAUUGGGAAGAACACCAGUGGCGAAGGCGGCUCUCUGGACCGUAACUGACGCUGAGGCGCGAAAGCAUGGGGAUCAAACAGG